UACGGAGGGUGCGAGCGUUGUCCGGAAUCAUUGGGCGUAAAGGGCGCGUAGGUGGCCCGGUCAGUUCGUGGUGAAAGCGCGGGGCUCAACCCUGCGUCGGCCAUGAAUACUGCCGCGGCUGGAGCACUGUAGAGGCAGGCGGAAUUCCGGGUGUAGCGGUGGAAUGCGUAGAUAUCAGGAAGAACACCAACGGCGAAGGCAGCUCGCUGGGACGGUACUGACGCUGAGACGCGAAAGCGUGGGGAGCGAACAGG
rnacentral:rRNA from 1 species